ensembl:lncRNA
CUAAAAGAUAAGUGGAAGCUGGGUGGCCGGGGGCAAAUAUAAAGAGUUUCUUUGUAUAUUUCAGAGGUUGACACUUGCAGCAGGAAUUCUAGAGAGAAGGUCUCUACUGGAAAUCUAGAGAAAUGACCUCCAGGACAUCUUUGGAUAGUGGAAAGACCCUUGGACUUGGAUUACAGCCUGAUAGCGGGAGUAUGGGACGUUCAGGAACGACUAGCACUUCCUUGCCCAGCCUUUUCCAGAGCUGCUUGUCCAUCUUUGUUUCACCUCUCCCCUGUGACUCCAAGAAGCUGUGGCAUGGAGCUGCCCUUGUGGAGGAGGAUAAAAGGCAGAUGAGAAUCAUUUCUUCCAAAAGUCACGAAAGUGUUGGAUGCUGGUGCUUUGGAGCACUUAGAGAUUGGUCAGACAUAGGAAAUGGCAAGAUCAUCCGCUGCAUCUCAAGCUAUUACCGGUCGCUUGACUUUUGUCUUGCAAUUGUCUUCAAUGAUUCUGGAAGUUGCACUUUGGGAAACUCUGCUUCACUUAAAUCUAAUUUAUAUACAAGUCAAGACAUCACCCCCAGAUGCCACUGUUGCUUUUCAAAAGGGAAGGAUGAACAACAAUAAUAAAAAGGGAAACUAACACAGAUAAUUGAAACUGACAAAUGCAAAUAAGAGUGCUAGAAGUACCUGGAGAAUUUUGAGGAGAGCGAAAUCACUUUCAGACUAUCAUUGGAAAGUAAUGAGUGCCAGUAACAGCUGUUUUCUGCAGCUUGAAAAAAAAAAAGUUAAGACUUGUUAUGGGCUGUAUUGUGAAAGGCAAUUUGGGGUUGAAUCUUUUUUUAAUCUGACUUGGAGAAUAAUGAUAGAUAGGCUUCAACAUCCAAUAUGAAAUUAGGGAAAUUCUUUAUCACUUUGUCCUAUUUUUCUGUAAGCACUUGAGGCAGGUAGGUGGUAUAGUGCAUAGAAUACAAGAUAUAGAGUCAGGAAAACCUGAGUUUGGAGCCUACCUCAAAUACUUAAGUUGUCUGACACUGAAACUCACUUGCCUUGUCUGUAAAAUAGCAUCUACUUCCCAAGGUGGUUGUGAGGAUAAAAUGAGAUAAAUUAUAUGAAAUAGUUUGCAAACCUUAAAGCAUUACAUAAAUUCUAUCUAUUAUCAUUAUCUCUCUGAAAGUUAAAACUUCUACUUGUGUUUCUAAUUUUCUGUUUCUAUAUAUGUUUUUAUGUGUCUUUUACCUCUUACGUUGUCGCCAAGUCUUUGUGACUAUUUUUGUCUUUUUUUUUUUUUUGGUAAAGAUACUGGAGUUAUUAACCAUUUUCUUCUUCAGCUCAUUUUACAGAUUUUACUGAGGCAAGCAGGAUGAAAUGAUUUGCUUAGGUUCACAUAGCUCUUAAGUUUCUGAAGCCAGAUUUAAACUAAGAAAGUGAACCAUUGGACAGUGCAGAGAACUUCAUUGGCCAAAACAUUGUUUUCCAGUUCUUCAAUAGCUAUGACUGGAGCAUCUGCAGAGAUACAUGACAAGUUUCAUCUCUACAAGUAUUGCUUUCCUAGACAAUGGCCAUGGCAGUCCAGUUGUGAGCAGGGUUGAUUGUGGAGCUUGGGCAGCUGUCUGACAAAGUGGAUUGAGUACCAGCAUUGAAAUCAGGAAGACUCAUUUUCCUGGGUUCAAAUCUGAUCUCAGAUAGUUACUAGUUGUAUGACCCUGAGCAAGCCACUUAACUUCCUUUGCCUCAGUACUUCAUCUAUAAAAUGAGUUGGAGAAGGAAAUGGCAAAGCAUUCCAGUAUCUUUGCCAAGAAAAUCCCAGUUGUGAUCAUGAAGACUCAGACAUGAAUGAAAUAACUGAACAACAACAAAAACAGAGUCUCAGCUUUGGGUUAUUCUCACAAUCCACUGUUAUUGCUCCUAUGCACAUGCUAUUAAAUAAAUCUGG